rnacentral:rRNA from 1 species
UACAGAGGUCUCAAGCGUUGUUCGGAUUCAUUGGGCGUAAAGGGUGCGUAGGCGGCGCGGUAAGUCGGGUGUGAAAAUCUCGGAGCUUAACUCCGAAAACUGCAUUCGAUACUGCCGUGCUUGAGGACUGGAGAGGAGACUGGAAUUUACGGUGUAGCGGUGAAAUGCGUAGAUAUCGUAAGGAAGACCAGUGGCGAAGGCGGGUCUCUGGACAGUUCCUGACGCUGAGGCACGAAGGUCAGGGGGAGCAAAACGGG